AGAGUUUGAUCAUGGCUCAGAUUGAACGCUGGCGGCAGGCUUAACACAUGCAAGUCGAGCGGUAACAGGAGAAGCUUGCUUCUCGCUGACGAGCGGCGGACGGGUGAGUAAUACUUAGGAAUCUACCUAGUAGUGGGGGAUAGCACGGGGAAACUCGUAUUAAUACCGCAUACGACCUACGGGAGAAAGGGGGCAGUUUACUGCUCUCGCUAUUAGAUGAGCCUAAGUCGGAUUAGCUAGAUGGUGGGGUAAAGGCCUACCAUGGCGACGAUCUGUAGCUGGUCUGAGAGGAUGAUCAGCCACACCGGGACUGAGACACGGCCCGGACUCCUACGGGAGGCAGCAGUGGGGAAUAUUGGACAAUGGGGGAAACCCUGAUCCAGCCAUGCCGCGUGUGUGAAGAAGGCCUUUUGGUUGUAAAGCACUUUAAGCAGUGAAGAAGACUCCAUGGUUAAUACCCAUGGACGAUGACAUUAGCUGCAGAAUAAGCACCGGCUAACUCUGUGCCAGCAGCCGCGGUAAUACAGAGGGUGCAAGCGUUAAUCGGAAUUACUGGGCGUAAAGGGAGCGUAGGUGGCUCUAUAAGUCAGAUGUGAAAUCCCCGGGCUUAACCUGGGAACUGCAUCUGAAACUGUAGAGCUAGAGUAUGUGAGAGGAAGGUAGAAUUCCAGGUGUAGCGGUGAAAUGCGUAGAGAUCUGGAGGAAUACCGAUGGCGAAGGCAGCCUUCUGGCAUAAUACUGACACUGAGGCUCGAAAGCGUGGGUAGCAAACAGGAUUAGAUACCCUGGUAGUCCACGCCGUAAACGAUGUCUACUAGUCGUUGGGUCCCUUGAGGACUUAGUGACGCAGCUAACGCAAUAAGUAGACCGCCUGGGGAGUACGGGCCGCAAGGUUAAACUCAAAGGAAUUGACGGG
rnacentral:rRNA from 1 species